rnacentral:lncRNA from 1 species
GUUUGGAAGCAAAUGGAAAUGACAGACCAGAAAUGCAUUUCAUAUUUGCAAAAAGAGUAUGUACAAGUCUUAAGUGCCAAAUGUAAUUCAUAUAAGAUGUAAAAUCAGUAUUACAGAUGGAAAUAUUUACAUGUGAAGGCAAUGGAACAGCCUUGUUAUCAGACAAGAUGUCAUCAUUAUAAGAAACAGACACAGAAGGCAAUGCAACAACUUUGCUAUCAUUACAAGAAACAGAUACAGGAAAAACAGAAGUAGAGGAACAACUAACAGAGGAAGAAGG